rnacentral:ncRNA from 2 species
GGUCAUGAGCGCCAGCGACAAGCCCCGGCUUGCUGGCCGGCAACCCUCCUCCGCGGUGGGGUGCCCCGGGUGAGGACCUGGCCUGAUCGCCCGUACGUCGGGUGACCAGGCAAGCGCGGACG